GACGAACGCUGGCGGCGUGCCUAAUACAUGCAAGUCGAACGCAGUGGGGACGGGUGAGUAACACGUGGGUAACCUCCCAUCAGAGGGGAUAACACUUGGAAACAGGUGCUAAACCGAUACUGAGGGAUGGCCCGGCGGUGCAUUAGCUAUUGGGUGAGGUAACGGCUCACCAAGGCCACGAUGCAUAGCCUACCUGAGAGGGUGAGCGGCCACACUGGGACUGAGACACGGCCCAGACUCCUACGGGAGGCAGCAGUAGGGAAUCUUCGGCAAUGGACGAAAGUCUGACCGAGCAACGCCGCGUGAGUGAAGAAGGUUUUCGGAUCGUAAAACUCUGUUGUUAGAGAAGCGGUAUCUAACCAGAAAGCCACGGCUAACUACGUGCCAGCAGCCGCGGUAAUAC
rnacentral:rRNA from 1 species